rnacentral:lncRNA from 1 species
UUCGUGAUUGACGCGGCGGCUAAAGCCAAGGUCAAGCGCGUGGUUUUCACGUCAUCGAUCGGUGCCGUUUACAUGAACCCUAACCGUGACCCUCAAACCAUAGUUGACGAAAAUUGUUGGAGUGAUCUCGAUUUCUGCAAAAACACAAAGGUAUGUAACUUUUUCUUUAAAUUUAGCAUCGACACGCCCGGAUAAUUCAGUUUUCUUAGCACAUAGUUUUCUUCCAAUCCAAGUGACCUAAAAGCUCUACGUUUACAAGUGACCAAAAUCAAACAAACAUGCGUUUAGCCUUAAAACCUCAAAAAAUUCGGAACUCGUACUAAUUUAGUUUUGCUGUGUAGAAUUGGUAUUGCUACGGGAAGAUGGUGGCGGAACAGUCAGCGUGGGAGACGGCGAAAGCGAAAGGUGUGGACUUGGUGGUGCUAAAUCCGGUUCUAGUUCUCGGAC